rnacentral:tRNA from 1 species
AGGUACAUGGCUUAGUGGUUAGGGUGUUAAGAUUUAUGAUCUUAAGAUUGUGGCUUCAACCCCUGGACCGG